UCCGAGUUGACCCCGGCAGUCUCCCAUGAGUCCCCACCAUUACGUGCUGGCAACAUGGAACGAGGGUUGCGCUCGUUGCGGGACUUAACCCAACAUCUCACGACACGAGCUGACGACAACCAUGCACCACCUGUACGCGGCCCAAAAGGACCCGACAUCUCUGCCGGUUUUCCGCGUAUGUCAAGCCUUGGUAAGGUUCUUCGCGUUGCGUCGAAUUAAGCCACAUGCUCCGCCGCUUGUGCGGGCCCCCGUCAAUUCCUUUGAGUUUUAGCCUUGCGGCCGUACUCCCCAGGCGGGGCGCUUAAUGCGUUAGCUGCGGCACGGAACCCGUGGAAUGGAUCCCACACCUAGCGCCCAACGUUUACGGCGUGGACUAC
rnacentral:misc_RNA from 1 species